CACGUAAAUCAUUUAAUUUGUUUUGUCUUUGGUUGUAUUAAAACUUCACAAGCCAAUCCGAAUAAAGUCUCAACGUGUAAAGGGCGGGACUAGUGCAGCAGGUUAGCGUGGGGAGUAGUGAGCACAUGUAGAGAAAGAAACCUGACCGGACUGAGAGCUAAGAGGAGGCAUCGUAGUGUGGGAAGCAGUUAAGUUUUAUCGUGAGGUCGACUACUCGUGGUCCUGAUUUAAACUUCUUUGUGACCUGCAAAAAGGAGCUGGACGUUGGAGAGAGGGGUUUCCAGCAGAUGGCCCUGCUGUUUUCUGUGUUUUCUUCCUUGUGACUUCGCCACCGCCAUUGCCCACGUGUGUGUUUGGAUUGCCACCGCCAUUGCCAUUAUCUUCGUGAGAAUAUCAUCCCCCAAUCCCUUUCUGCCCCUACUAAUUACACCCUGGAUUCGUGAGUACUGAUUUACACAUUGCACGUGCUUUUAUUUUGAGCUCAAGCUGAGUGAAGCGGCCAGUACAGUUUUUAGGCCCCACCGCACACAAGCUUCAACUAACAGGCCUGCAACGGGUUAACCUAAUUUAAAGUGUGUUGUUAAUUUGAUUGUGUGUGGUACAUUGAGUUUGCAUUGUUGUAAAUUGGAGAAUCCCGUGCAUCUGAUUUUAUUUAUUUUAUUUGUUUAUUUGUUUUCUUUUCCUAAAAUACAUUCGACUAGUAUUUCAUUUUGUGAAUAAAUAUGUGAUUGAAUACUUUUACAUUUAAAAUACAGUUGUGGUGGUCAUUUAUUAAAAUUAUCCAACAGUAA